GACGAACGCUGGCGGCGUGCUUAAUACAUGCAAGUCGAACGAACGGACGCGAAGCUUGCUUCUUUGAUGUUUGCGGCGCACGGGUGUGUAACACGUGUAAACCCCCCCUAUAUGACUGGGAUAACCUCGGGAAACCGGAGCUAAUACCGGAUAAUCUUUUGAACCGCAUUGUUCAAUAGAGAAAGACGGUGGUGCUGUCACUUAUAGAUGCAUCCGGGCUGGAUUAGCUAGUUGGUAAGGUAACGGCCUACGAAGGGAGCGAUGCAUAGCCGACCUGGUAGGGGGAUCGGCCACAUGGGAGCGGGGACAGGGACAAUGCUCCUACGGGAGGCAGCAGUAGGGAAUCUUCGGCAAUGGGCGAAAGCCUGACGGAGCAAGGCCGCGUGAGUGAUGACGGCCUUGGGUUCGUAAAACCCGGUUAUUGGGGAAAAACAGAUUUGUAAGUACAUGUACACAUAUUGACGGUACCGGAUCAGAAAGCCACGGCUAACUACGUG
rnacentral:rRNA from 1 species